AACGAUGAAACUUAAAUGAUUUCUUCGGAAUGAACUUAAGUGGAUUAGUGGCGGACGGGUGAGUAACGCGUGAGUAACCUGCCUUACACAAGGGGAUAGCCGUUGGAAACGACGAAUAAUACCCUAUGAUGUUUCUAUCUCGCAUGAGAUAUUAACCAAAGUGUUAGCGGUGUAAGAUGGACUUGCGUCUGAUUAGCUAGUUGGUGAGAAAAAAGCCCACCAAGGCAACGAUCAGUAGCCGGCUUGAGAGAGUGUACGGCCACAUUGGGACUGAGACACGGCCCAGACUCCUACGGGAGGCAGCAGUGGGGAAUUUUGCACAAUGGGGGAAACCCUGAUGCAGCGACGCCGCGUGAUUUAGAAGGCCUUCGGGUUGUAAAAAUCUUUUGUAUAGGAAGAAAAUGACAGUACUAUACGAAUAAGGUCCGGCUAAUUACGUGCCAGCAGCCGCGGUAAUACGUAAGGACCGAGCGUUGUCCGGAAUCAUUGGGCGUAAAGGGUACGUAGGCGGGUCAUUAAGUUAGAAGUCAAAGGCUAUAGCUCAACUAUAGUAAGCUUCUAAAACUGGCGACCUUGAGUAAUGGAAGAGAAAGUGGAAUUCCUAGUGUAGCGGUGGAAUGCGCAGAUAUUAGGAGGAAUACCGGUGGCGAAGGCGACUUUCUGGCCAUUAACUGACGCUGAGGUACGAAAGCGUGGGUAGCAAACAGGAUUAGAUACCCUGGU
rnacentral:rRNA from 1 species